rnacentral:lncRNA from 1 species
UUAAUGAUUCCAACCCCAAAAAUCGCUUAAGCCGUGCGGCACUCAGCUCAGUCCGUCGAGCUAAGUCAGCCUAACCUCACUAUCACGCAGCGGAAAGUAAUUUGAAGGGUUGUGAAGAGCUCGGCCAGCUUCUUGUGGGAUGAAGGAAGCUAAACUAGCUAAACUAGCUAGAAGGGAAGAGAAUUGGGGAAAAUGGCUUUUAUAUUACACUUGGAAAAAUUUACAAGGCAAGUAUACAAGAAAGCUCACAAAUACACCACAAAGUGUGUACAAGGUGUCCCAAAGGCUCUUUAGGUGUUGGAGGCUUCUACUCUCUAAGUUCUUCUUAAGUUUCUUCAGUUGCUGGACAAAUACCCCAGCACCCCUAUUUAUAGGCUAUCCACCUCCUCAAUGUGUGGUGGAAAUGCCUUCUCAAAUAUGUGGCCAGAAUUCUCCUUCCAGAACUUUCAGGGACUAAACGGUAAUUUUACACCCCUGGGAGAAUUCUGGAUUCUGCUGGCCAACCAAUAUGUGGGCCCCAGCUGCUGGUGGGAAAUCUGCUGCCCUUGCAGAUUUCUGGAAGCUUUUGGGCUGUUCCAGCCUGUUCUGGGAGCCACUGGCCCAUUCUGGGCGCCUUCUGGAAUUUUCGUAGGCCAACCAGACUCCCCUGGAAUUUUCGUUGGCCAACCAGAACCUCCUGGCAGCUUCCCGCGCGCCCCAGCUGCUUCUGGAAGCUUCGGGCGCCUUCCAGCCCGUUCCGCCAAUUGACCCUCGUCUGGCACAGAUCCGUAGGCCAACCAGUCUUCCGUAGGCCAACCGUAUCCGCAGGCCAACCAGCUCCGUAGGCCAACCGUAUCCGUAGGCCAACCAGCUCCGUAGGCCAACCGUAUCCGUAGGCCAACCACGCCCCGCUGGCCAACCACGCCCGCUGGCCAACCACGAAUCUGCCAAUUGCCCGUUGGCCAGCCAACUGCCUGCCCCGCAGCUGCUGCCACCAAUCGCCCCUUGGCACUCCAUAGGGCUGUCCCACCAUUCUUCCUUCACAAAAUUCUUUGGAUUUUAGGGAGGCAUGAGAAGAGUCGUGACAUUCUCCCCCAGCUAUUCCCGCGACGCCCUCGUCGCGUCUCCACGAAGUCGCACCUUCGACCUCCAUGGUCUACUCUCCCAUGGUGCAGAUGGAGAACGUCCCUUAGACUUUACCUCCCUUGGAGAAUCAACAUCCACUCUAUGAUUCUCCACACAAGUCUUCACAAACCAUUUGACAUCCAUCACCAUGUGAUGCCAAAAGAACUCACGUCCAAGCAUUGCCAUCAUCUUUCUCACACUUGGACGGCCACGAAUCAUGAAGUCAUGACACCACCUCAUGACCUCCUCUCGUAACUUGCCCCAUCUAGGCACAAAGAUGCUGCCACGCCUCGUCUUAAUGAGCCCACCAUCAACCACGAACUUCCUUGUUACCCCAUCGCAAGCCAACCUUACCAGUUGCUUGGCUUGCCCAUCACGCAUCGUUGCCUCCUUGAUGCGCCUCAACAAGGAAGACUUUGGACCCAUCGCGUCGACAGUCAUCCUCCCCAUCAUCCUAUCCAUCUCCGCCCUUAGGAAAUGGUUCUCCUCCUUGAUGGCAGCAUUCUCCUCGGAAUGGGCAUGCCUAAGUGUCCCCAUCUCACUCGCUAGUUUGUCGACGGCAGAGUCGAGGGCACCUUGCAUCUCCUCACGGAACUCUUCCAUCCCAUUGCCAAGUUCCUCGAUGCGGGUGUCUACCUCCUCGAACUUCUCUUCCUCCUCGAUCAAGACUAGCUCCACCUUCGCAAGACGGGUCUCCAAAUCACCGAGCUCCUCCCUAGCUCGUGUAGGCUCCCUCGAUUUGCCCCUUCCUUUCCUUUUGCCGCCAGCAUGCUCCUCCACCAUUGGAGCAACUCCCCCAGCAAUCACCUCGCUUGGAUCAGACAUCUUUCCUCCAAUCAAGCAAACCAACGCUCUGAUACCACUUGUCACGGGCUUAAUGAUUCCAACCCCAAAAAUCGCUUAAGCCGUGCGGCACUCAGCUCAGUCCGUCGAGCUAAGUCAGCCUAACCUCACUAUCACGCAGCGGAAAGUAAUUUGAAGGGUUGUGAAGAGCUCGGCCAGCUUCUUGUGGGAUGAAGGAAGCUAAACUAGCUAAACUAGCUAGAAGGGAAGAGAAUUGGGGAAAAUGGCUUUUAUAUUACACUUGGGAAAAUUUACAAGGCAAGUAUACAAGAAAGCUCACAAAUACACCACAAAGUGUGUACAAGGUGUCCCAAAGGCUCUUUAGAUGUAGGAGGCUUC